AAACUUUGAAACACUGUUGAACGAAUUUGGAAGGUGUUAAGGAAUAAACAACUGAUUUUAAAAGCUACGGUUUGGAAAAGCUACGAAGAGCAAACACAAUCAGUAUGCUUUUCAAAUUAGCUCCAGACACAAUCACCUUCCAGAACCAAGUGUACACUGCCAGAGGCACAGGGGAAGCGGGUAGCCUCUGAAACACUAACGGGUUACCAUGCUUGCUUGAUUAGUAUUUCUCCUUUUAAAGUAUGUUCUCAGCCUGAGUAUAUUUUAACGAUGUUGUGUGUGUGUGUGUGUGUAUUGCACCACAUGCAUACUUGAUGUCUACAGAGGUCAGAAAGGCUGUUGGAUUCCCCUGGAACUGCAUUUGGAAACAGAUGUGAUCUGCGUGUGGGAGAGAAAGCCAAGCCCUGGUGCUCUGGAACCUAAAGACGAAUGUCCCUUCCACCCAGGAAUUUCUCUCUCAGACAUCAUCUGACCUGUGUGCAAAGCUGAGCAUGAGUGACUCCAUACCUCUCAGCUAGAAUAACGGAAAGCACUUAACUUCCCAUCCUUCAGAGUCCAACUAGCUAGAUCUAUGACAGACGCACAGAGUGGCCAAUGAGCAGAAGCACUGAAGAAAACAGACACAGUCUCCUGUUUCCAAGACAGCAAAGAGAACUGCAAAGGAGAACAUACACCCACCUUUUCAAGGAUGUCUGCUUUUCGGCAGAUUGGUCCACGCCCCUCCUGUGCCCAUGAGCUUCCAGAGCUGUGAGGUCUCCCCCACCCACAUUGGGAUCCACCUGUUCCAGACUUCACUUUAUCCUUCUUUGCCUGGAUACCCUGAGGGAAGAAGUGAAAAAUGGAACAACAGAUAAGGAAACAGAAGCAGCAGCUCAGAUAACUUACUUGAGGAGGAUGCACAUUUUUGUAUGGGGAACUUAUAAACAGACACAAGCUGAGAAGGCUAGGCUGACUCCAUGACAGGCUUCAAAUUGACAGUUCAGGAGACAAGGCCUAAAUCUCUGUUUCCAAGAACUGGGUAAGUCCAGGCAAGUCCAGGCCUCAGAAGCUGCCUUGCCACCUGGCCUGAGGCAAGGACAACGAGUCAGCAGCAGUUUUUAGACUUUCUCAGCCAAAAGUUUCCAGACCUCCCCGGCAACAGUUUCUAGCUCCCACACCCCAGAAAUGGUUCUGGAAUGUCCCUAGAGAUGGAGAAAGAUAAAGGUCACCUACCCCCCGAAAUUCCUCUAAUGUGCUUUAAAAUGGGCCUGUGAGCUCACUUGGUUGUCUUUUUUUGGUAAUGGGAGACUCCAACAUGCUGGAUUUCUGCAGAAUAAAACACUCUUUGCAUUUACAUACUAA
ensembl:antisense 1810013D15Rik RIKEN cDNA 1810013D15 gene